rnacentral:tRNA from 1 species
GAAGUAUCAAAACUGAAGCUUCUAACUUUAAGUUCAAGCGUUAAUUGCGUUUAUACUUCU